rnacentral:rRNA from 1 species
UACGGAGGGGGCUAGCGUUGUUCGGAAUUACUGGGCGUAAAGCGCGCGUAGGCGGACCUGCAAGUCGGGGGUGAAAGCCCGAGGCUCAACCUCGGAACUGCCUUCGAUACUGCGGGUCUCGAGUCCGGGAGAGGUGAGUGGAAUUCCUAGUGUAGAGGUGAAAUUCGUAGAUAUUAGGAAGAACACCAGUGGCGAAGGCGGCUCACUGGCCCGGUACUGACGCUGAGGCGCGAGAGCGUGGGGAGCAAACAGG